rnacentral:tRNA from 1 species
GGGGAUUUAGCUCAGUGGUUCCAUCACCUGCCUUGCAAGCAGGAAGUCCCGAGUUCAAUCCCCA